UAAUAUGGCCAUACCACCCUGAACGCGCCCAAUCUCGUCUGCAGGAAGCUAAGCAGGGUCGGAUCUGGUUAGUACUUGGAUGGGAGACCUCCUGGGAAUACCAGGUGCUUUAAAAA
ensembl:rRNA LOC120096080 5S ribosomal RNA